rnacentral:rRNA from 1 species
UAAUACGGAGGGUGCAAGCGUUAAUCGGAAUUACUGGGCGUAAAGCGUGCGUAGGCGGUUUAUUAAGUCAGAUGUGAAAGCCCCGGGCUUAACCUGGGAACUGCAUUUGAAACUGGUCAACUAGAGUAUGGUAGAGGAAAGUGGAAUUUCUGGUGUAGCGGUGAAAUGCGUAGAUAUCAGAAGGAACAUCAAUGGCGAAGGCAGCUUUCUGGACCAAUACUGGCGCUGAGGUACGAAAGCGUGGGUAGCAAACAGGAUUAGAUACCCUGGUAGUCCACGCCGUAAACGAUGAUAACUAGCCGUUGGGGGGAUUUACCCCUUAGUGGCGAAGCUAACGCGUUAAGUUAUCCGCCUGGGGAGUACGGCCGCAAGGCUA